rnacentral:rRNA from 1 species
AACGAACGCUGGCGGCAGGCUUAACACAUGCAAGUCGAACGUGAAUAUUUGGUGCUUGCACUGAAUAUGAAAGUAGCGCACGGGUGAGUAACACGUGGGAACGUACCUUAGAGUGGGGGAUAACAGUUGGAAACGACUGCUAAUACGGCAUAUGCCUUGAGGGGUAAAGAUUUAUCGCUUUAAGAACGGCCCGCGGAAGAUUAGGUAGUUGGUGGGGUAAAGGCCUACCAAGCCUACGAUCUAUAGCUGGUCUGAGAGGACGAUCAGCACCAUGGGGACUGAGACGCGGCCCAAGCUCGUGCGGGAGGCAGCAGUGAGGAGUAUUGGGCAAUAGGGGGAACCCUGACCCAGCCAUGCCGUGUGAGUGAAGAAGGUCUUCGGAUUGUAAAACUCUUUCGGACGUGACGAUGAUGACAGUAGCGUCUAAAGAAGCACCGGCAAACUUCGUGCCAGCCGCCGCGGUAA